rnacentral:lncRNA from 1 species
GCCCUGUGUCCAUUAGACCUAAUAAAUAAGUUGGCCCCACAAGUAUCAGCAAUGGAAGUGUUAAAAGCCAUGGAAAAAACAAUAAUACAUAGCUUUGGAGAACAGAGUGGUGGUUAGCAGAGGGGAGGGGUUGGCGGAGGGUGAAAUGGUAAAGGGGACCAACCACAUGGAGAGAGAUGGAAACUGAAUCUUUAGGGGUGAGCAGGCUGCAGGGUUUCCAGAAGUAGAAAUAUAAUGUUGUACACAUGAAAUAUAUAACAUAAAUGUUGCUUCGAUUUUUAAAACUUAAUUUAAAAAUCAAAGUUUUUAAAAAAGCAAUGUUGGCAUUAUUUUGCAGCAUAGCCAGUUAAGGAUCUGGCAUUGUCACUACAGCAGUUUGGGUCACUGCUGUGGCACAGGUUCAAUCACUGUCAUAGAACUUCCACAUGCUAUAGGCACGGCCAAAAAAAAAAAAAAAAAGACAAUGGAAAAAGUCAGAAGGGAAUAAAGGAUCAAAGGAGGGCUAGAAUCUGAAAUUAGCCUGACUUCUGGGAUAAGUCAGACAAUGUAACUGUAAAUCAACCAUAAGGCUUUCAGCAGCAACUAAGGCUGCAGCAUACACCAGAACAUCAGGGAAGAGGAAAUGUCUGAUAACCCAUUCCACAGCUCCUGAACCCCUUCAGGAGUUACAGAAUGAGCUAUCAACAUGAGAGAUGCCUUUACCUGAGGCACCUGGCCAGGUGCAGGAAGAUGAGUCAGGAGGCUGUGGAGUCAUCCAGGGGAGCAAUGCCGGCAGCCUGCCCCAGAGGCAGGGCCUGGAGAGUGAUGUCGACCAAGUGAAGAGAUUG